AGAGCGAACGCUGGCGGCAGGCCUAAUACAUGCAAGUCGAGCGGCCACUUCGGUGGCAGCGGCGGACGGGUGAGUAACGCGUGGGAAUGUGCCCUUUGGUACGGAACAACUGAGGGAAACUUCAGCUAAUACCGUAUGUGCCCUUCGGGGGAAAGAUUUAUUGCCAUUGGAGCAGCCCGCGUUGGAUUAGCUAGUUGGUGGGGUAAAGCCCGCAAGGCGACGAUCCAUAGCUGGUCUGAGAGGAUGAUCAGCCACACUGGGACUGAGACGCGGCCCAGACUCCGUACGGGAGGCAGCAGUAGGGAAUCUUGCGCAAGUGGGCGAAAGCCUGACGCAGCCAUGCCGCGU
rnacentral:rRNA from 1 species